rnacentral:rRNA from 1 species
UACGAAGGGGGCUAGCGUUGUUCGGAAUUACUGGGCGUAAAGCGCACGUAGGCGGAUUUGUUAGUCAGGGGUGAAAUCCCGGGGCUCAACCUCGGAACUGCCUUUGAUACUGCAAGUCUCGAGUCCGGAAGAGGUGGGUGGAAUUCCUAGUGUAGAGGUGAAAUUCGUAGAUAUUAGGAAGAACACCAGUGGCGAAGGCGGCCCACUGGUCCGGUUCUGACGCUGAGGUGCGAAAGAGUGGGGAGCAAACAGG